ACAUAUACAACAUAAUAGAGAUCAGAGAUCACUUCUAAAAUAUGACUCGAAAGGGCUUUGUUUCUGGAUUAAGGGCCUUACAAUAAGGUUUUCUUCUUCGGUCUUCCUUCUUCAGGCAACAUGGAUAGCCUUAACUCUUACUAUCAAGGAAGAUACUUUUAUAUGGAGGUCAACCCCGAUUUAGAGAUGGGUGAAAUUCCUUCGACAUUCUAUAGGAGAUUUAAAGAUGCACUACCAAAGUUGAUGACAUUUUAUGAUUCUGCUGGCAAUGAAGUUGAUGUGGUCAUUGAGAAAUGCCAUCGAACUGCUAUAAUUAUUAUCGGCUACAAUAACCUUGCUGCGAUUUAUGGCCUCAAAGAUGGGGUUGGUUGAGUGUCUGUUACGUUGGCCGAGACAAAUUUCUCAUUGUUGAAGUGAAGGACCACAACAUGCGGACCAAAGAGCUGUGCUACCCACCGUUAAAGCUAAGUGUGGACAUCAAACCAUCAAUACCUCUUCCAGGAAUCAUAGAACUAUCUGAAGAUGAGCCUAAUGCAACUCCGCCGCUUGAAACUACUGAACCUGUCCAAGUUUCACAAAUAGUGUAUCAACAACCUGAUGAAGAUGUGAAUAAUUCCAAGUGGGAUGAUGCCACUGACCAACUCCAACAUCUCCCAGAAUCUGUGUUCAAUCUGUUGACCUGCAUUGACCCUCCCACAUUUUAUGGUCUUGAACCUUACGUUAAUCAGCUGGAACCCAGUGUCAAUAACGAGGAUCAACACGACCAACUGGAUCCAAUAGGACCAAUAAUUUCACUUCAUCCAUUCCGGGCGUCUCCUUUUUUAGAUGUCCCACAGACAAAAAAAAAAUUCUGUUGUGGCCGAGGAAACAGGUGAUAAUUGUAACAUUAGUACUGAGGUUGUUUCAACUGAGAAUGCAGGGUUUCCAAAUGGUCAGAGUCCUCCACCCCUGAGUCCUAACAUUGGCCUUUCCCCACCGCAUUCUCCAAUCAUGCAAGACUUUUAUUCGGUUGUGAGGGUGAUAUCUGAGUACCAGUCAAAACACUAUUCUAUGCUACUUCCGUCUACUUUCUCUUCGCUUGCGUUUCCUUCGAGGCCUGAUUUCGUUCGCGUUAGAGAGUUACACAAGCCACCAAUCAUCAUGAAGCUUCGAUGGAGGAGCCUCAGGUCAUCAGAAGCCUUUCUUACCAGGGGUUGGAGAAAAUUUUCAGUCGACCAUGGCCUAAAAUGUGGAAGUGUAGUUCAUUUCUGCGUCCCUAUUAAUGAUGAAACUACUAUAAUUGUUUCUAUAUUACGUAUCUAAGAUGUUUAAUUGGUAAUGGUUUUUAUUUUAGCAAUGCCUCUAGAGUAUGAUGCAGUAUUGGAGUGUCUCAACCAUGUGUAAUAUGGUAUUAAUGUCAUUAGUUGUACUAAGUUCCAUCUAUCUGUAACUUAAAUGAAUUAGAAUGUUUUUGGUUCGACUUAUCAUUAGUUUAUGUUUGAAGCCAAUUGAG